rnacentral:misc_RNA from 1 species
CCGAAUUGUAAACAAGAGUUGUUGCUGGUCCUCAAAUGGGGAUAUGUGCACGCUCUGUUCGCAUAUCCAAUCACACCUGUGCACCCUCUGCAGUUCUGUGGCCAGGGGGGCUUUGCCCUCCUGUGCUGUGGUUCUGUUUCUUUACACACACACACUGUAACAAAGUUUUGUGGAAUGUACACUGCGUUUAACGCAAUACAAUA